rnacentral:rRNA from 1 species
UACGUAGGGUGCAAGCGUUGUCCGGAAUUAUUGGCGUAAAGAGCUCGUAGGCGGUCUGUCGCGUCGGCUGUGAAAACCCGGAGCUCAACUCCGGGCCUGCAGUCGAUACGGGCAAACUGGAGUGUUGCAGGGGAGACUGGAAUUCCUGGUGUAGCGGUGAAAUGCGCAGAUAUCAGGAGGAACACCGGUGGCGAAGGCGGGUCUCUGGGCAACAACUGACGCUGAGGAGCGAAAGCGUGGGGAGCGAACAGG